rnacentral:rRNA from 1 species
UGGUGGAGCGAUUUGUCUGGUUAAUUCCGAUAACGAACGAGACUCUAGCCUAUUAAAUAGUUCGCCGAUCCCGUCUCGUCGGCGUCAACUUCUUAGAGGGACAAGUGGCGUUUAGCCACGCGAGAUUGAGCAAUAACA